AGACUGGAUUUUUGCCUGACUACGGUGCUCAGCCUUCUAGACAAUAGUUAUGCUAAGGGAUUAUCUUUUAACAUUGUGCAGUUAUCUCCUUUGUUUGUUUUCUUUUUUCAUUAUUCACAUAAGCCAAGGGAAAUGAAAAGCAUCUUAUUUCAGGCAAAAAGGCCUGUGAAUGAUUAACUCUGGUUCCAUGCGUUGGGACUUUGCAUAGCAACCCCGUGGCUUGCAACGACAAAAAAGCUCAAGGCAGGAACAGCAGCCCAGGGACCUGAGACCAGCGUUCUCAAAUGAAGAUCUGCUGUUAGAGGAGAAUUCUUCUGUCCUAGCUGUGUCUCUGUGAUCUGUGGAUGAGGGUGGGAAAGCACCACUCAGUCAAUUGGGGUGUACAAAAUGGAGUUUGAGAAGGUCUCACAUCCAGGUUGUUUUGAAGCAAAGUCCAAGCAUUGUAUCACUUCAUCUGCAAAUAUUUCAAUAAGUACCCAAAAGUGGUUGGACUGAGUCCCAUGAAGCCAGAUCACUUCUGACUGCAAGGAGCUUGGAAAAGCAAGUAUCUGGAUCUUUUACCAGCUAAAUUUGGAGGUAGGUAUCUACCAGACUAGGGAAGAAGAGAAGAAUGGCUGUUGAGUGCAGAUCAAUUUGUUUCCACUGAAGUCUAUGGUUGAAAUAUUUAUGCAUAGCUGAGAUAUAGAAUUGUGCUGUAAAAUGUGGUUGAUUUGGUGGUAACUAUGUGGAUAGGUGUGGUAGGUUGAAGUGUCCCCUGCAAAUUUAUGUCUACCUGGGAUCUCAGAAUGUGACUUUAAUUGGAAAUAGAGUCUUGCUGAUGCAAUUAGUUAAGAAUUUUGAGAUGAGUCGUACUGGGCUUUCGGUGGGUGCUAAAUCCAAUGGCUGGCAUCCUUAUAAGAAGAGAGGACACACACACACACAGAACAGGCCAUUCAAAGAUGGAGGCAGAGCUUGGGGUUAUGCUGACAGGAGCCAAGGAAUGCUGGGGGGACAUUAGAAGCUGAAAGAAGCAGGGAAGGAUUUUCCUCUAUAGGUUCAGAGGAUGCAUGGCCCUGCUGACACCUUGAU
rnacentral:lncRNA from 10 species